CUGAACUUUACUUUGGAAUACCAAUAACUCAGUAGCCUGUACGAAAAGGAGAAUGGUUUCAGGAUCUCUCAGUUAGCUGCUACCUUCAGACCUUGAAAGUAUCAGUAGAAUGCUUAGGUUCAGCCUCAGCUAUUCCCCAGAUCCUUGUGUUUCUGUAGGACUUUCCUACCUGGGGCCUUGAUGUCUCUUUGGGUCCCUUGCGAGCCACUCACUGUCUUCAGUUGUUUCGCUGAAAACUCCAGGGAAGAAGAACCAACACAAGGAUUAAGUAUUAUGUCUCAGAGGAUAUUUCUAGAUUUGAAUUCAAGACAUGCAGAAGAAGGCUUGAAGUCUACUGACAGCAGGAGGGUUCAUAACAACUGACUGCACGCUGACACCUGCUGCCUCAGAUCCGCUGAUGCUCCAUUUUCUUUGGGAUCCAUCACCACAUAAAAUUUCAGACCUGUGAAUUAUGUCUUUGCUUUGAAACUGUUUCCUGGUUAUCUAAUGCUUCACACUACAUGGCAGCACUGCAGUGACAGGCACUUUAUCCCGAAUGAAAAAUAGAUGAAAGGUAGCUGGAAAUGCAAUACCUCUGUGGUGGUUGGUUGUUUUUUCUUUGUUUGUUUGUUUGUCUGUUAGUUUUUUGCUGAACCAGCAAUAUUUUGUUGCUAUUCAUAACCUAUCUUGUUCAACUGAUCUUUACAGAAAGCAGAUAGAGCAUUUCAUAGUGCCUUCAGCCACAUCAUGCAUCACUUUUUACAUAAUUGCAGUUGCAAACUACGAUAGGGAAAACAGCUUCCAAGCAAGGCUGACAAGUGUACAAACUUUUCCCAAUGACCACCAGACUUGGUUAGACUUUCAGUAUUUUUCUUUUCAUGCUGAAUGUCAGCGAACUAUGACUCACACCAAAUUCACAUAGCCCCCAAGAGGCUGUAUUAACUCUGGCUACAGCCAAAUAUCUGUCUAAGUUUCUGUGUGUGAACAGGAAACAGAUUCAGCACAAAUCUUCAUUUAUAACUGAGAUUAAUGGCAAAGGGGCUAUGGCUGGCAAAGGAAUGAGCUGUUUAACUGGAUACACCCAAGCGUUUUCGAGAACUUAAGAAAUGUCUUUCAAAGAUCACGGGUUGUCGGUAAGUGAACGGCAAAACUCCUGAUGGCUUCGCUGCCUCUGACUGAUGGGAUCUUUCCAGAUAUGUAACUGCAGGCUUGCCUAGAUUUCGUUCUGGUGAGUCAGCCUGCAGGCACUAGUCCUAAAUAAAAAAGGAAAAAAGAAUUUAAAAUAGCUGUGU
rnacentral:lncRNA from 1 species